AUCCGGCCAGGGCAUUCGGACCGGCACUCGUGGGCUGGAGAUGGAGGAACCACUGGAUUUACUGGGUCGGUCCAUUCAUUGGAGCAGGACUUGCGGCACUAAUAUACGAGUACAUAGUGAUACCUACAGAGCCACCAAUCCACACUCACCAGCCCUUGGCACCUGAAGAUUACUAGUGAUCUGUUUCUUUCUGUUUCUGUAAUCAUUUGCACAUGAAUCUCUCUGCCUUGCCCUUUUCUUUUUUUUUGUUUGAACCUUUUUUUGUUUGUUGAUCUUUUUUAAUCUUUCUGUGUCUUCUUCCUGUUAUUCUCUCUUUGUGCAACUGUUGUCAUCUUCUGUCUUAUAUUACCAUCAAAAUAAAAAAAAGGGGGCCUCUUAUUUUCUUUACCUACGUAUUUGCUUCCAUUUCUUUCUCAUACACGCAUGUCUGUUUGUAUAUGAUAGAUAAUAUGAAAAUCUAGUACUGUAAGAGAGGCAACCCAAA
rnacentral:lncRNA from 1 species